CAGAAAUUUACAUCCAAAAUCGUGCAAAGAAAGAUUGAUUCCUUCUGUGUUCUAACUCAAUCACUGAACUUGUAAGAUACAGGGCCAGAACUCAAGUGGAUUUUGACUUUGUUAACGAUGCCUGGAAUCAAGAUCCGUGAUGAAGAUCAAGAAAAAAUCCUAGCGAAGUAUAUUUGUACUUACUGUCAUCACCUUCUCAUAAAUCCAAUGCAGACCUCGUGUGGACAUUUGUUUUGUAAAUCUUGUAUGGACAUAUUCUUGGAAAUCCUGAUCCAAAAUGUCCUGAAGAUAAAGAAAAUUUGACCAAGGAAAACGUAGGUGAAAAUAUUGCAAAGAUUUGACAGAAAAUUCAAUUACAGUCUUGUUGCUAUCGAUCAUUAGCGUAGCCAUCCCGCAAGUUUAGUCCUGCUUUGUAAAUUUUAGUACAUAAUAUUUUCCAUAUUACAGGGUUGUCAGUU